rnacentral:rRNA from 1 species
GACGUAGGGCGCGAGCGUUGUCCGGAUUUAUUGGGCGUAAAGAGCUCGUAGGCGGUCAGUCGCGUCUGCUGUGAAAACUCGGGGCUUAACUCCGGGCCUGCAGUGGGUACGGGCUGACUAGAGUGCGGUAGGGGAGACUGGAAUUCAUGGUGUAGCAGUGAAAUGCGUAGAGAUCAUGAGGAAGACCAGUGGCGAAGGCGGGUCUCUGGACAGUUCCUGACACUGAGGCACGAAGGCCAGGGGAGCAAACGGG